CACACAAAGGGAACAGAUAAAGUCCGAUCGCAGCACCUGAAGCUACUCUAUUCAAUUCCAUUCUUUCAUUUCCAUUUUCCAUCUCUCCAUUUUUCAAUUCAACCUUGCACCAUCACAUCAACAAGGAGCUGAAUGAAGUUAUGAGGAUUAUCUUCACUUUCUGCUACGGGCGCUAACCACAGGCCCCCUUCCCUUUUCAAAAGGAGAAAGAUAGAUGUCGCAGCUGGAGAAAGACGCUGGUUUAUCUGCAGAGGCUGUGUCCUUGGGAAACGAGAUAAAUGACAAGCGGCUAAUGAAGUGCGGUGAGAAAGGAGCCGUCUCUUUAGCUCCUCUCCUUUUCUGUGCGUGUGUAAAAGUCAGAUUAGCGACUGUGGAAACCUGCGAGGACAACAAGCCUCACACAACGGCAACAUUUCCACAAACAAACACAGAUGCAAGCUUUGGAUUACGGGGGAGCGGAGGGGAGCUCGUCUAUCCUGAAACAGAUACCAGAUAUUAAGGGGGAGCUCUGAAACAUCGACCAGUUUUACAGACUCUGAUUCUCCCUCCAAUG